ACUGUUCGCUUCACUGCUGCAAGCACAGAGCGAAGGCUGAGCUGGGAGGGAGGCGCACCCGUCCAGGCCACGCCCUCGGCCCCGCCUCUUCCGACCAGGCCCCGCCUCCUCACCGCACACCGGGUCCACUGUGGCAUGCAGCGCCCCCUAUGAUCCAGUCACCUCUGAGCACAUGAGGUUUGGAGAGAAUUUUUUAAAAAUCGAAACUAUAAACGAAGGCAAAUUUGUUUGUCACACAGGAUCUCUUUUUGGCUCCUGUAGUGGCACAUAAGACAUCUACAAGAAGGGCAAGGCGAGGCCGUGAACAGGGUUUUGCCGUCACAUGGGAGACAUCUGCCGGGAGGGCGGGUUGGGCUGCUGAUGGGUCCAGCUCCAUCACCCCAAGAAUCAAGGCAGACUGACUGCGUCACUCUGGCCCUCAAGAUCCAUAAUCCAAGUGCUCUCUGAAUAAUACAAGAUAACAACAGUGAGAAGUGGAGGAGGAAGAAGAGAGAGGGAGUACUACACAAAAAAUUGUGGAUCACCUUGAUGAGCUGACAAAUGAACAGGCAGUUCAAAGACCUGCUCCAACAACACUGAAAGCCAAAAAGAUGUCAACUGUGUCCUAGAAGAAGGGAUAGGAAAACCAAACAUACAUGCUAUCAGUAUUUUGUACACCAAAGACCAGUUGAUGCUGAAAAUUUUGAUGCCUUUUUAUAAAAACUCAAUAAUAUUAAGAAUGUAA